AGAUGUAUAACUGGGCAUAUACUCGUUUGGCAGUAGUUUCUAUUUUUCCGAUCUACUGCCAAAGGAGAUUUGCCCAGCAAUGCAUCU
rfam:Helianthus annuus linkage group 17, whole genome shotgun sequence.